rnacentral:rRNA from 1 species
UAAAGCCAUAUCGGUGGAUCACUUGGCUCGUAGAUCGAUGAAGAACGCAGUGAAUUGCGUCAAUAACCGCGAAUUACAGAUACCAUGAGCGGCUUGUUUUCGAUUGCAUAUUGCGUCGUUGGGCUUGCGUCCAUCGGCAUAUUCGAUUCAGGGUGUGUAUU